UCCUGGAUAGCUCAGUUGGUUAGAGUGUGGUGCUGAUAACGCCAAGGUUGCAGGUUCGAUCCCCGUACCGGGCA